ACGGAAGGCAGCAGUGGGGAAUAUUGCACAAUGGGCGAAAGCCUGAUGCAGCAACGCCGCGUGAAGGACGAAGGCCUUCGGGUCGUAAACUUCUGUCCUUAGGGAAGAAACAAAUGACGGUACCUUUGGAGGAAGCCCCGGCUAACUACGUGCCAGCAGCCGCGGUAAUACGUAGGGGGCAAGCGUUAUCCGGAACUAUUGGGCGUAAAGGGUGCGUAGGUGGUUUGCUAAGCGCAUGGUGAAAGGCAAUGGCUUAACCAUUGUUAGCCGUGCGAACUGGUUUACUUGAGUGCAGGAGAGGAAAGUGGAAUUCCUAGUGUAGCGGUGAAAUGCGUAGAUAUUAGGAGGAACACCAGUGGCAAAGGCGACUUUCUGGACUGUUACUGACACUGAGGCACGAAAGCGUGGGGAGCAAACAGGAUUAGAUACCCUGGUA
rnacentral:rRNA from 1 species